GCAAGCCGAACGGCAGCGGGUCCUUCGGGAUGCCGGCGAGUGGCGCACGGGUGCGUAACGCGUAUGCAACCUACCUUUGACAGGGGGAUAGCCCGGGGAAACCCGGAUUAAUACCCCAUGGUAUUAUUGAAUCGCAUGGUUUAAUAAUUAAAGAUUUAUUGGUCAGAGAUGGGCAUGCGUCCGAUUAGCUAGUUGGUAGGGUAACGGCCUACCAAGGCGAUGAUCGGUAGGGGUUCUGAGAGGAUGAUC
rnacentral:rRNA from 1 species